rnacentral:lncRNA from 1 species
CUCUAACAAUGUGUGAGCAGCCAUGGCUCUCUCUUUGACGGUUACUUCUUGAGAUAACUAAAAAAAGGCGUAAAGCCAGCCCUCCAUUAGCAUAGGAGAACCUGAUUCCAGCCAUACUCUUAGAAUAGAAAGUAACUUCUAUCUUUAGACUUGUUAGGAGUAGACAGGCUUUAGGCAUAGGCAACCUAGCUUACUCGUUUUGAUAGUUUCCGCUAUGACUAUGUUAUGUAUGUAAUUACGGUCUUUGUUGGAUAUUGUUUAACCUAACCGUAGACUUUCUUAGCAAUACUCUUAGAAUAGAAAGUAACUUCUAUCUUUAGACUUGUUAGGAGUAGACAUGCUUUAGGCAUAGGCAACCUAGCUUACUCGUUUUGAUAGUUUCCGCUAUGACUAUGUUAUGUAUGUAAUUACGGUCUUUGUUGGAUAUUGUUUAACCUAACCGU